rnacentral:rRNA from 1 species
UACGUAGGGUGCAAGCGUUGUCCGGAAUUAUUGGGCGUAAAGAGCUCGUAGGCGGUUUGUCGCGUCUGCUGUGAAAACUCGGGGCUUAACCCCGGGCCUGCAGUGGGUACGGGCAGACUAGAGUGCGGGUAGGGGGAGACUGAAUUCCAGGUGUAGCGGUGAAAUGCGUAGAGAUCUGGAGGAAUACCGAUGGCGAAGGCAGCCUUCUGGCCUAACACUGACGCUGAGGUGCGAAAGCAUGGGGAGCAAACAGGGAUUAAGAAUGACCCGAGUAGUCCCGAGAACCA